rnacentral:rRNA from 1 species
GGGAUGCAGCAGUGGGGAAUAUUGGACAAUGGGCGAAAGCCUGAUCCAGCGACGCCGCGUGGGUGAAGAAGGCCUGCGGGUUGUAAAGCCCUUUCGGUUGGGAAGAAAAGUAUUGACCUAACACGUCAGUACCUUGACGUAACCAACAAAAGAAGCACCGGCUAACUCUGUGCCAGCAGCCGCGGUAAUACAGAGGGUGCAAGCGUUAAUCGGAAUUACUGGGCGUAAAGCGCACGUAGGCGGCUUGAUAAGUCGAGUGUGAAAUUCCCGGGCUUAACCUGGGACCUGCAUUCGAAACUGUCUUGCUAGAGUAUGGGAGAGGGAAGUGGAAUUUCAGGUGUAGCGGUGAAAUGCGUAGAUAUCUGAAGGAACAUCAGUGGCGAAAGCGACUUCCUGGACCAAUACUGACGCUCAGGUGCGAAAGCGUGGGGAGCAAA